rnacentral:rRNA from 1 species
CACUCCUGCGGGAAGGCAGCAGUGGGGAAUAUUGGACAAUGGGCGCAAGCCUGAUCCAGCCAUGCCGCGUGAGUGAUGAAGGCCCUAGGGUUGUAAAGCUCUUUCACCGGUGAAGAUAAUGACGGUAACCGGAGAAGAAGCCCCGGCUAACUUCGUGCCAGCAGCCGCGGUAAUACGAAGGGGGCUAGCGUUGUUCGGAUUUACUGGGCGUAAAGCGCACGUAGGCGGACUAUUAAGUCAGGGGUGAAAUCCCGGGGCUCAACCCCGGAACUGCCUUUGAUACUGGUAGUCUUGAGUUCGAGAGAGGUGAGUGGAAUUCCGAGUGUAGAGGUGAAAUUCGUAGAUAUUCGGAGGAACACCAGUGGCGAAGGCGGCUCACUGGCUCGAUACUGACGCUGAGGUGCGAAAGCGUGGGGAGCAAACAGGAUUAGAAACCCUGGUAGUCCCAUGA